CUGUAUCAUGCACUAAGAACCAAGCCUCAGUCCUGCAAUCAGCAAGGAGACAUUUGUCAUUGACUCAAAAGCUUUCAGAAGUUCCAUGGUGAUCCAGUUUUUAAAUUCACAGCAGCAAGUGGAUUCCACUAGGAAACAAAAGGUAACACCAAAGAAACUAUGUGUUAGAACAUAUUUUAAUUGGAGAAGAAUGAGUCUUCAAUCUCCUUGCUUUUGGAGCUUUAAAAGUGAAAAGAAAGGUGACAAGAAAUGCCUGUUCUCAUGCUCUGUACCACUUCAUCACAAUUCACUGCAGAACGUCAGUACCUGCCAAUACCUGACAAGAGUAAAAAUUAACAGCUGCAGGACUUUGCAGCAUUCCCAGACCUAUUUAAAAUUCAAGAUAAAUUAAGCUCAUCCACAAUCACACUAUGCAUAUUUCUACACUUCUGCCCGAGGAUGUAAGGAAAUGGAAACACGAAAGCCCCAUGCUUUCAUCAGAAGAUAACAGUAUAGCUUCCAUUUUGCAUAAACAAUGCAUAAAUCCCUGCUGUUAUUUUCAGCUGCAAGAGAGAAUAUGUUUAUAAGGCAAAGUCAUCACCAUACCAAGCUGGAAACUUACACAAAUUAAGAUGCCAAGAAGUUCUUUGGAUUGAGAGAAAGCUGAGAAUUUUUGGGAAGGACUAUUUUCCUUUCUGGUUUGGGAGAUCAGCUGUGGACUGUGUGUCUCCAAGGAGGGACUGGGUUGAGAUGGGAACUAUGUAAUGCUUAUCAGCUUGGCAUGGAUUUAAUGUUUGAUCAGAAGUGAUGCCAUGGCAUUCACUCCGCCGAAGAGACGUGCCUCAGACAACCAUUUGCCUCAGAAGGAAUUUCCAGCACUUGUGAAGGAUAGCCCACAGCAUUCUGCACAUCUCCUACAGCAUCUCUGUUCCUCUAAAAGUCUAUUAUUUGGACAACAUCCACUCCAAGUGGAGGGAGAUACCAAGCCGCAGACAGAU